AUUGAACGCUGGCGGCAGGCCUAACACAUGCAAGUCGAACGAGUGGCGGACGGGUGAGUAAUGUCUGGGAAACUGCCUGAUGGAGGGGGAUAACUACUGGAAACGGUAGCUAAUACCGCAUACCAUCGGAUGUGCCCAGAUGGGAUUAGCUAGUAGGUGGGGUAAAGGCCCACCUAGGCGACGAUCCCUAGCUGGUCGGAGAGGAUGACCAGCCCCACGGGACCUGAGCCGCGGCCCGGACUCCAACGGUAGGAAGCGGUGGGGAAUUUGGCACAAGGGGCGCAAGCAUGUGGCGACCAUGCCGCGUGUAUGAAGAGGGCCUUGGGGUUUUAAAGUAUUUUCAGCGGGGAGGCGUUACCCGAAGAAGAAGCACCGACGAACUCCGUGCCAGCAGCCGCGGUAAUUC
rnacentral:rRNA from 1 species